rnacentral:rRNA from 1 species
UACGUAGGGUGCGAGCGUUUGUCCGGAUUUAUUGGGCGUAAAGAGCUCGUAGGCGGCUCGUCGCGUCGGCUGUGAAAACCCGCGGCUUAACUGUGGGCUUGCAGCUGAUACGGGCGGGCUAGAGUUCGGUAGGGGAGACUGGAAUUCCUGGUGUAGCGGUGAAAUGCGCAGAUAUCAGGAGGAACACCGGUGGCGAAGGCGGGUCUCUGGGCCGAUACUGACGCUGAGGAGCGAAAGCGUGGGGAGCGAACAGG